rnacentral:lncRNA from 1 species
GCAUCACUCACUUCUGUCCCGUUCUUGACAGCGCCAUUCGCGAACGAUUUCCCAAGUUACUACGCCUGGAUGGCCAUGAGCUACCCCCACCAAUUGCCUUUGAUGUUGAAGCCCCCACGACGUUACCGCCCUGCAAGGGAAGCUAUUUUGGAACAGAAAACUUGAAGAGUCUGGUCUUGCACUUCCUGCAACAGUACUAUGCAAUUUACGACUCUGGAGACCGACAAGGGCUCCUGGAUGCCUACCAUGAUGGGGCCUGCUGUUCCCUGAGCAUUCCUUUCAUUCCUCAGAACCCUGCCCGCAGCUUAGCCGAGUAUUUCAAGGAUAGCAGAAAUGUGAAGAAGCUUAAAGACCCUACCUUGCGGUUCCGGCUGCUGAAGCACACGCGUC